GGGGUCCAUCCGAGCACCGGCAGCAGCACAACUUGGCAGCCGGCACAGCCCCGGGCAGGAAGCUCCUGCAGGGGGACUCCGCGGAGGCCUGGGGCCAGGACUCCAGUGAGCCCAACCUGGUGUUUUCCAGUGUUUUCAGGAGGCAUUCAUUCUCAGGGGCCCACCUGGGCUUGUGGAAGCCCGAGAGUGUGUAUCUCCUUGAAUUUUGCACCCUGGAUGCCUUCCUUGCUCACCCUGGACCCAGCCCUGCCCUGCUUUUGAGCAAUUUGUAUUCUUGGUUUAACAAAGUGUGGAGAGGACCCUCAAGGAUCUCAGAACCUACUGGAUGAGGCAGGAAAAUAAAAAGACACAGAGUGUGCUGUGUGAUCAGCAGAGAUGAAGAAAGCUUCCUUAGUGAAGGAGGAGAAUUACAGAGCAGCGCCAGCGUUGGGGAAACAUGCUCAACUUCCAGCAGUCAUUCCCGCUCGCCUCCUUUCUCUUUGCUCGAGGUCUUCGGUUCAGGCUCCACAACUGAUUGAUGCUGUUUUCCUGUUAGUAUCUCUUUUUCAUCAUGCACGAUCCUCCAUAGUGAUGGAAUGGAGACAGCUUCUCAGAGAAAGCACAGCUUUGGAAGCUUCAGCCAGACACCGUACAAGGGACAGGGGAGACUGAGAUGAAGAACACUCGGUGCUUCUUCCCAAGGCACUCGCAAUCUCGGAGAAGACAGAUGUGUACUCACACAGAUGCAUAUGCUACAGCACUGUGUGAUGAUGCUAUACAUGCACAAAGUGACCGGGAACAGAGCGGCCGUCCCUGGCGACUCAGGGGAGGCAUCACACGAGAGAUGACUUUAGAACCGGGCCUUUAAAGGAAACACAGGAUCUCUGCAGCAGUCAAGAAGGGGAAGAGAAGACUUGGUGUUAAAAAAUCAUGGGUUCAGGACAUACUGCCCCACAAUAUGGCACUUUGGCAUGUUGAAUAUUUUAAGCUAGAGGAAUUUGAGAAAACAGCAGAAGCAGGAAGGUCCCCUGAGGCGGUCCCCUGAAGUGGUCAUAAACUUUGGGAAGGACUCUGACCUUCUGAAGCAGGUCAUAAGACCCUCGUGUGAGAGUUGCCCUUCCUGUAGCUGGAGGAAAGGGGCAUCCUUAUCUCUCAAGACAAAAGGAGACAGAGAGGAAUCCAGAAAAACAAGCCUUGCUAAGCUUCCCCAGUUCACCACACUUACAUUGUACUCUCUGCCCUGUGAUAUUUCUCCAUGACUUUCCCCUCCUUAUCAAACCUAUUAUUAAAAACACUCCCAUUUAACUGUUUCUUCAGAUCCUCAUUUCCUUAUGAAGGCUCUCUCGUCACAUAAAACUUGUAUUAAAUAAAUUUGUAAGC
rnacentral:lncRNA from 1 species